AGGAGUGCUUUGUGACCUCCUUUCAAAGCUGUAGGAAACCAGCAGCAGGGCAAUGACCAUUGCCUCGUGCUUCUGUCAGUCUGCAUGGCUCCAUGGUGCUCAUGGAAUUUAUAACUUCCAAUGCAUAAACCAGCACUAAUCUCUCCCCUCUAAGCAGUAUUAGACUGAUUGACUAUUGAGGCUUAAAGGUUUUUCCAAGAGAAUCAGAAAGUACUAGGAGUACAGGAGUUUGUCUGGAGAUUUGACCCUGCUCUGCGUACCCUCCCAGAAAGGUUUCUAUCUUCUUUUGGCCAUUUUCUUCGUUAAUGACAUGCCUUCCAUGCAGAACUGUUCCUUCUCCACCUCCCAGCAGAUGAGGUGUGAGCUGCAGUGUACAAAGGAGGCACUGAGCCAGGCUUGGGAAGCCGACCUCCCUGUUCAUACUGUCUUCCUGAUGCAAUCCUUCCUCCCAGUGCUGCUGCAACCAGAGUAUGGCUGCCUGCUGCUCUGAGCUGUACUCAUUACAAAGGCCCAGCUGCCUGAGUUGAGCCCCGAGAAGAGAGAGCCCAGGUGAAGGUCUCUGUCAGCUCUCCUGCAGCCCUGUGGGAUUUUUGACAUGGCUGUGAUUUCUGAAGAACUAGCGCCCUGACUCACCUGCAGGACGUCUAGAAAUCCUGGGCAAAUAUCCAGACGCCUGAAAUUCUGCGUAGACACCAUUUUGCAGCAGAAGAGGAGGAACAAACUGUGGAAAACCCUGGGAAUCAGUGGCACCUACUGUGCGCUAGCUGCUCUGACUGUUUCACUUUGCUUCAGUUAAUCUAGAAGUGACUUUUCCUCUUCUGCUUUUCAUAGUCCUUUGGAAUAAAUAACAAAAAACCCCUCUUUCCACUGUCAUAUUGAAGCAUGUCUGAGAUUCAAGGCACCUCUCAGAAUGGCCUUUGCUGCAAGAGCAUCUGUUUGGAUGUUGAAGUUUUGGGACAUGGCACGAAAUUAGAAAUGGCAGCCACAAGACCUGUAGGGAGCAGAGCUGGUGUGCUGUGCUGCACAGGGUUAGCAGCAAGGACCCCAAGUGACCUCCCUGCUGUCAGCACACGUGGCUGAGGGAGGCAGCGAAGUUCACGUGAGAAGGUUCAGGGCAAAGUUGGGCCUGUGCUGAAGGCUUCUGAAAAUGCUGCUCUGCAGUUGUGGAUCUGGUGCCAUCACCUCCUGUGAACUCACUGAUGUCUCACCACUGUAAGAGACAGCAAGAUCUGGCAGCUCUGCUCACCUCCAGUGGUGUCUGGCAGCACCCCAGAAAGACAAAAGUGCAUCUCUUGAUACCACCAGAGCUACCCAUUUGCAAGGAAUGCCUCACCUUUGCUUUAUGAAGACCCUUUUUUCCAGGAAAAAAAAUAUGUUCACUUCUGAACUCAGUACUCUAUUCUCUCCAUUCCUGUGGGUUUUUAUCUACCCCGUGUGUAAGCACUUUGCAAAUAUUUGACUGGAAAUUAUGGGAGAUAAGACAGGUCUGCCCUUGCUGCAGCAGGCAAGCACCUAGCAAGCAGAAUAGGAACUGCAGGGAUACAUUUCAGCCUAUCAUAUCCUAGAAUGAGUAUGGUGUUUACUGAGAGACUGCCUCUUCUAUUUGUGCAUUGAUCCACUUCAAAUUGUAUUUGAAUAUCUGAAAUGCUGGCAUUAGUUUAUUACACUGCUCCUCUUUGUCCCACUUUCCAUGUUUCAGACACUGGGUUGUGCAGGAGAAAUGAUAAAGGUGAUGCUGCUGGUGUCAAAUGCCAGCAUGGGUUCAGCACUGUCUUAUUCCGGAAAACGACCUCUCCCAUACUGAGCCUUUCUGCUCUGGGAGGAGAGCAGGCUGGGGAGUCCCAAGUGCAGUCCUCUGCACUGUGCUGUUUGUUCCAGCUCCAUUUUGGAGCAUAUUAGCAGUUUCCAUCGUCCUCCUAAUUGCACUGCCAUAAAACAUCCUUCUUACUCAUGAAGCAGAAUACCUAGAUCCACCUUCUUGCCUCCUGGCUAAUUACUGUCAUUAUCUGGCUAGACAAACUUGUCAUGAGAUUAGAAUCUCCUCACAAAACAGGGUCAUCUCAGGAAGUUCUUGCUAUCCGGUUUUGUGUAAAUCAGUCACCUCUGCAGCUGAACAGCAGCUUGGAUUGUUGAGAAUUCACACGCUCCCAGGAGGGGAGCAGAGGAGCAUUUCCACACAGGAGAUGCUUCAAAAGAAGCUGGGUGUUCCUACUGACAUCAGUGGGGGAAGCCAACGCCUACUCUCUUGCACCUGCUCAAGGAGUUAUCCUUUAAAGACACUGAAAAGAACUAACCACUUGCAGUACUUUCAUUGCCUGGAUGGAUCACUGCUGUAAUAAAGUUGUUAUAUUCUACUUAGUGUAUCCUUCACCCCUGUGCGUUGGCAGUUCACCUCACCUUAACUCCGUAGCAAGCCUCAACAUGGACAGAGUCCAGGAAGAAGCCACAAAUCAGGCUGGUCAUCUUCUUGUGUUUUUUAAGGCUUCAGGAAAUUCCAGCUGAAGAUGCCAAAAUAAAAUAAAUUCAACUCCCCAUUUAAAACAGAAACUGAGCUUAGUGUUGUAGGCACUGGGUGCUUUGCCCUCAGCUCUGCAGGGUUUUUCUGCAGAGGCUCUUGGGGCUGGCUGUUUCCAUGCGUGGGGAAUGUAGGUCUCCUUGUGCUUAGGCAACUGGAGAGCCAAGCACCUCUUACCCAAUGCCCUUCCUACGUAGGUGAGCACAGCAGGAAUCCUUGCUCCCAUAAACCUCUGGUGACUUCACUUUGCACACUAGCCCACACAGGGCCUGCCGUGCCAGAGAGCGCUGUCACCAAUGCACUAAAUAACUGUAACUGCAUUUUAACAGGCCUGUGGCAGCAAGGAAACCUGUGUUACCCCAGCAGUACUCCCCAAUGGAAA